GCCAGGGUGGUGUAGUGGUCUGAGUGUUAGAUCUGGACUCUAAGAGACCAGGGUUCAAAUUCUUGCUUGGCCA